AUUGAACGCUGGCGGCAUGCUUUACACAUGCGAGUCGAACGGCAGCGCGGGCUUCGGCCUGGCGGCGAGUGGCGAACGGGUGAGUAAUGCAUCGGAACGUGCCCAGUAGUGGGGGAUAGCCCGGCGAAAGCCGGAUUAAUACCGCAUACGACCUGAGGGUGAAAGCGGGGGACCGAAAGGCCUCGCGCUAUUGGAGCGGCCGAUGUCGGAUUAGCUAGUUGGUGGGGUAAAGGCUUACCAAGGCGACGAUCCGUAGCUGGUCUGAGAGGACGACCAGCCGCACUGGGACUGAGACACGGCCCAGACUCCUACGGGAGGCAGCAGUGGGGAAUUUUGGACAAUGGGGGCAACCCUGAUCCAGCCAUGCCGCGUGCGGGAAGAAGGCCUUCGGGUUGUAAACCGCUUUUGUUCGGGAAGAAAUCCUCUGGGCUAAUACCCCGGGGGGAUGACGGUACCGGAAGAAUAAGCACCGGCUAACUACGUG
rnacentral:rRNA from 1 species